UACUGAACCUCCAGUUGCUGGCAUGCACCCAACUAUCCAUUGACUAACAAAAAUAAACUCUGCGGUUCGGAUGCCAUAAACUCAAAUGAGCUAUACCAAAACGUUUACAGCGAUGCCAGACUACAGGAAGUUUUUCAACAGACUGCUCCCUGCAAGUGCUGCAGAAUUGUCAGGGUUUUCAGUCCUUUCCUCAACCUGCAAAACUGCCAGCCUCACUGGCAGAUACCAGGUCUGGGCAAGCAACGUGGAUGAGGAAAUGAGGAUAAUCCGACAGAUAAUUCAAAGCUACAACUUCAUUGCCAUGGACACAGACUUUUUUGGAGUGGUGGUUCGACCCAUUGGCGAGUUUUGCAGCACGGUAGACUAACAGUACCAGCUCUUGAGGUGCAACGUGGACCUUCUGAAAACCAUCCAACUGGGACUGUCAUUUAUGAACGAGGAUGGAGACACUCCCACUGGAACGACGACAUGGAAGUUCAAUUUCUAAUUUAAUUUAAAGUGGGUGUUAAUCCUUCCCAAUAGGCACAGCUCGGUUGUAAAGAUGUCAUAAUGACGUCUUUUCCCGAUGUCGUAUGGCGGUCAGAUUUUGGUUGAAUUUGAAAGGUUUUUAGACAUCUUUUUUAGACGUCAAUAUGACGUCUUCUAGGAGACGUCUAAAACGUGUUCAUAUACAACCAGAAUCUGACCAGAA